AGGCAGCAGUGGGGAAUUUUGGACAAUGGGGGCAACCCUGAUCCAGCCAUGCCGCGUGAGUGAAGAAGGCCUUCGGGUUGUAAAGCUCUUUCGGACGGAACGAAAUGGUUACGGUCAAUACCCGUGACUGAUGACGGUACCGUAAGAAGAAGCACCGGCUAACUACGUGCCAGCAGCCGCGGUAAUACGUAGGGUGCGAGCGUUAAUCGGAAUUACUGGGCGUAAAGCGUGCGCAGGCGGUUUCGUAAGCUGGAGGUGAAAUCCCCGGGCUUAACCUGGGAAUGGCCUUCAGGACUGCGAGGCUAGAGUGCGGCAGAGGGAGGUGGAAUUCCACGUGUAGCAGUGAAAUGCGUAGAUAUGUGGAGGAACACCGAUGGCGAAGGCAGCCUCCUGGGCCAGCACUGACGCUCAUGCACGAAAGCGUGGGGAGCAAACAGGAUUAGAUACCCUGGUAGUCCACGCCCUAAACGAUGUCAACUAGGUGUUGGGGAAGGUGACUUCCUUAGUACCGCAGCUAACGCGUGAAGUUGACCGCCUGGGGAGUACGGCCGCAAGGUUAAAACUCAAAGGAAUUGACGGGGACCCGCACAAGCGGUGGAUGAUGUGGAUUAAUUCGAUGCAACGCGAAAAACCUUACCUACCCUUGACAUGCCUGGAACUUCGCUGAGAGGUGGAGGUGCCCGAAAGGGAGCCAGGACACAGGUGCUGCAUGGCUGUCGUCAGCUCGUGUCGUGAGAUGUUGGGUUAAGUCCCGCAACGAGCGCAACCCUUGUCGUUAAUUGCCAUCAUUUAGUUGGGCACUUUAACGAGACUGCCGGUGACAAACCGGAGGAAGGUGGGGAUGACGUCAAGUCCUCAUGGCCCUUAUGGGUAGGGCUUCACACGUCAUACAAUGGCGCAUACAGAGGGUUGCGAAGCCGCGAGGUGAAGCCAAUCCCAGAAAGUGCGUCGUAGUCCGGAUUGCAGUCUGCAACUCGACUGCAUGAAGUCGGAAUCGCUAGUAAUCGCGGAUCAGCAUGUCGCGGUGAAUACGUUCCCGGGUCUUGUACACACCGCCCGUCACACCAUGGGAGUGGGUUCCACCAGAAGCAGGUAGCCUAACCGCAAGGGGGGCGCCUACCACGGUGAGAUUCAUGACUGGGGUGAAGUCGUAACAAGGUAGCCGUAUCGGAAGGUGCGGCUG
rnacentral:rRNA from 1 species